rnacentral:rRNA from 1 species
GACGAACGCUGGCGGCGUGCUUAACACAUGCAAGUCGAACGGUGACCCAGGGCUUGCCCUGGUGAUCAGUGGCGAACGGGUGAGUAACACGUGGGCAACCUGCCCCUGACUUCGGGAUAACUCCUCGAAAGAGGAGCUAAUACCGGAUACGACCACUUCGGACAUCCGAUGGUGGUGGAAAGUUUUUCGGUCAGGGAUGGGCCCGCGGCCUAUCAGCUAGUUGGUGGGGUAAUGGCCUACCAAGGCGACGACGGGUAGCCGGCCUGAGAGGGCGACCGGCCACACUGGGACUGAGACACGGCCCAGACUCCUACGGGAGGCAGCAGUGGGGAAUAUUGCGCAAUGGGCGAAAGCCUGACGCAGCGACGCCGCGUGAGGGAUGAAGGCCUUCGGGUUGUAAACCUCUUUCUAGCAGGGACGAAGCGAAAGUGACGGUACCUGCAGAAGAAGCACGGCUAACUACGUGCCAGCAGCCGCG